UACGAAGGGGGCUAGCGUUGUUCGGAAUUACUGGGCGUAAAGCGCACGUAGGCGGAUUUGUUAGUCAGGGGUGAAAUCCCGGGGCUCAACCUCGGAACUGCCUUUGAUACUGCAAGUCUCGAGUCCGAUAGAGGUGAGUGGAAUUCCUAGUGUAGAGGUGAAAUUCGUAGAUAUUAGGAAGAACACCAGUGGCGAAGGCGGCUCACUGGAUCGGUACUGACGCUGAGGUGCGAAAGCGUGGGGAGCAAACAGG
rnacentral:rRNA from 1 species